rnacentral:rRNA from 1 species
AAGGUUUCCGUAGGUGAACCUGCGGAAGGAUCAUUAGUGAAUAAACUUGUGUGGGUUGUUGCUGACCUCCUCGGAGGUAUGUGCACACCUGCCAUCGUUUCAUUCAAUCCACCUCCCACCUGUGCACUCUCUGUAGGCCAAACCAUCAAUCUUUCAGGCUCUUCUAAGGGCCUGGCAUGAGGAACUGCUCCGGCUUUCCUUGGAUGGGUGUGGUCUACGUUUUUAUCAACACUGCAUGUAAUCGAAUGUCUGUUCUGGGCUCUAUAUGACCCAUAAAACCUUAUACAACUUUCAACAACGGAUCUCUUGGCUCUCGCAUCGAUGAAGAACGCAGCGAAAUGCGAUAAGUAAUGUGAAUUGCAGAAUUCAGUGAAUCAUCGAAUCUUUGAACGCACCUUGCGCUCCUUGGCAUUCCGAGGAGCAUGCCUGUUUGAGUGUCAUUAAAUUCUCAACCUCACAUCCCUUGUGGUGUGAAGGUUGGAUAUGGGAGCUGCUGGCCUUUUGGGUCAGCUCUUCUGAAAUCCAUUAGCAGGGCCUUUGUAUGCAAAACUGCAGCUUGGUAAUGAUGGGAUGUCUUACCAGGUCACAGACAAGCAUGUGCUUUGCUCACAGCCGUCUCUUUGAGACAAAUCCACUUGACAAUUUGACCUCAAAUCAGGUAGGACUACCCGCUGAACUUAAGCAUAUCAAUAAGCGGAGGA